rnacentral:rRNA from 1 species
UACAGAGGUCCCGAGCGUUGUUCGGAUUCAUUGGGCGUAAAGGGUGCGUAGGCGGCGGGGCAAGUCUGAUGUGAAAUCCCGGGGCUCAACCCCGGAACUGCAUUGGAUACUGCCUUGCUAGAGUACUGGAGAGGGAACUGGAAUUUACGGUGUAGCAGUGAAAUGCGUAGAGAUCGUAAGGAAGGCCAGUGGCGAAGGCGAGUUCCUGGACAGUUACUGACGCUGAGACGCGAAAGCGUGGGGAGCAAACAGG